rnacentral:rRNA from 1 species
UAUGAACGCUAGCGGCAGGCCUAAUACAUGCAAGUCGAACGGCAGCACGAGUAGCAUUCCUCGCUGGCGAUUGGCGCACGGGGGCGUAAAACGUAUGCAAACUACACUAUACAGGCGAAUAACCUUUAGAAAAGAGGGCUCAUACGCCGUAGUAUUUAAUAUGCGCCACUAUUCAUUAUUAAAAGUCUAUCUUUAUGGCACGGGUAUGCGGCCCAGUAGUGCGUUGGUAAGGUAACGGCUUAACAAGACGAGGAUGGGUAGGGGAGCUGAGAGGACUUACCCCGAAACUGGUACUGAGACACGGACCAGGCUCCUACGGGAGGCAGGAGUAAGGAAUAGUGGGCAAUGGCCGCGAGGCUGACCCAGCCAGGCCGCGUGCAGGAAGACUGCGUUAUGGGUUGUAAACUGCUUUUAUACGGGAAUAAUAGAGUGUACGCGUACAUUUAUGCAAGUAUCGUAUGAAUAAGCAGCGGCUAACUCCGUG